GAAGGCGCCAUGUUUCCCUUCAUGAUUUCACAUUUUGAUUUUUAGUGCUGCACUCAGACGAUAGUUGGUGAGAUUUUUGUUGUGUGAAUAACAUGGAGAAUUUUUAGCUAGGUUUAAUUGCCAUUGUGUCCAAAAGAAAGGAAGAAAAAGAAAGCCUUCCUCUCGACACUUGACGCUCAGCUCUGUCUCGACCCUAAACGAAAUCUCAGUCCUCUCUUAAACCUAGAAACCCAUCUCUCUUACAAACCCAUCUCGAUCUCAGUCUUCUCUCAAUCCUCUCUCAGUCCUCUCUCACACUCUCUCGCGGCCGAUUUAGAUUGCCAUUGAAUUCGUUGAAACAGAGAACCAAGCUUGAAUUCAACUUCACGUCCGCCACAAUAACCAGUCUCCACCAAAAUCUGAGUCACUGAUGAUGGCGCCACAGUAAAACCCACCUCUCAAUUCUCCGACUUGGCGUAUUGGGUUUUAUUUUCUUCAGUAUUUUGAGGACAUUGUCACCAAGAACACAGACUAAGAGAACGAAGGUUGGAAUAGUCGGGGAAUACGGUAUUAUCUAAAUUCUUUUGUUCUGUUCUAUGUAAUGGCUUGUAUAUAAUUUGAGAUUUACAAACCCAGUUAAGGAGUGGUGACCAAUAGAAGGCAUCUUAUUAAAAACUGAUAUGCAAGACCGAUCACUCAUUCAAGAAUCAGAUUUGGAGUUCCAAAAGCUUAAGUGAUCUUUUUGAGCAAAUGAGGCAGAUUAGGUUAGGGAUUUGGGGAAACCUAAUUGGGUUGUACAAGUUUGCUGCCAUAUUACUGAUUCUAUCAGUUUGUGCGUAAGGUUGAACAAGUCACGGCCACGAAACUAAUCAAGGUAUCCGAUAUUGGGUUAUCAAUUGAGAGUAAUUUUAGGUUUUGUUUGGGUUUUGUUAGUUAAAUUUAGUAUGGGUUUAGGGCUCACUGAUAUAAUUUGAUUUGGUUCCUAGCUAUUGUUGAUUGAUUAUGAAAAGGUUUGUCUUUCCCUUUCUAUAGGGACAGGGCAAAUACUUCAUUUUGGGGUUGUUACUAAUCUCUGGGAUAUAUAAAGUGUAAAUCUUGCCAAACAAGAUGAGUAAACAACUGCCUUUUGUGAUCUUUGUUUAUCUAUUCUUUUGCUUUCUUAGGCAUAUUAAUGUGUUCACUGAGUUAUUGGGUUGAUCAUUCAAUGUUUAUGUUUUGAACAGUAAGAAUGCUUAGGGAAGAACUACAGCUUCUGCAAGAGCCUACACAAAGGUACUUGCUGCAUUCAUAUCCUGAUACAGUUGGAAAAGAGUUCAUUUUGAAGUAAGGAAUUCCUUCAUUGCAUGAUGUUUGAUAUUAAGAUUCUAUUAGAUAGACAUCAUUAUACAUCAUAAGUGGGUUCGAUAGCUAGGUGCCAUUUGAUUGUGCUUUGAAUUGUCUAGUCUAGUCAUUUGAUUCGUUGUCUGAAGCCCAUUAGAAAGAUUAUAGUAUCUGCUAUUCAGAACUUUCCAAUAAGAAUGAAGACUAGCUUGUUGCAAGAAGCUUUUCAGUAUUCAUUGUUUUUGCAUGAGCUAUGAAUGUCAUAGCAUCUCCUUGUCUUCGUUGGACAUCAUCAUUUGCAUUCUGGUAGGUUCUUAGUAUCUCUGAGUCACUGAUAGGGUAACCUCAAUUGGAAUCACUUUAUCUUUUAAUUACAGGUAUUGAUCCUGUGAUUCAUCCCCAUCUAUUCUCUCCUAGAUAGCAACAAGUUUAAUUUAAAUAAAGUUUCAAUUGAAUAUUUUCUGUUGUAGUCUGUACUAGUUGUGAGUUCUUGCUUCUGCAGAGUUCUUUUAUUCUUGUUUUGGACAAUUAUGCAGAAUAAAAUUAUAGAAGAUCACUCACUGUUAGCAUAUGUAAAUUCCAAUUUCAAUUUAGGAAAAUGUCUAUGGCUUCACUUUUAGGUUUAUGUUGGGGAUUCUGAAUAGAUGGCAUGCAUCAGGUCAGUAGGACAUAAGUUUGCUGUAGACUGGCAGUUGUUUAUCAAAUUUUGGCGAAAGCCCAAUAUUGCAGGCCAGUAACCAACCGUCUGAUAUAGAUGGUUACCAUUAUCUGAAGAUCAAAUCCUGUAAGUUUGAUAAGUUUGUCUUCCUGUUUGCUUUACUGGUCUAACGUGUAUGGAUGUCAAUAUUAAGAGCAGUUUGUUGUAAUUCUGCUUGGCCACUUGUGUCCUAACUAGUGGAGUUGGAUAAUCCCUUUUGUGAUAUGAAACCAGGUAAAUUGUUUAUAUGUUUCUACCAUCUAUAAUUUGAUGAUUAAAUUCACAACUUUUGUUUGGUAAUGUGGGUUUUCGGGUUGUGAAGGAAGACUUCCAGAUGCAUUGGAAUCUCCUGAAGAAGGAAGUUGUUAGAUUCUUUUUAAUUAACUUUGUUCUUUAUAAUCUUAAUCAGGAUUCAUUCGAAUCUCCUAAAGAAGGAAGACUUCCAGAUGUCAAAAAAGGUAUAUGCAUGCCUAUGUACUAAGAUAAACUCUAUCAUUAUUGUGCUUUUGCUUAAUAGUACUGCAAUGCUUUGGCUCUUCAAUUUUGCUUAAUAGUACUCCAAGAAGCAUCUCUCUAGCUCUGAACUUUCUCCUUUUCAAUGGCAAUGUCAAUUUCAAAAGUGCUUGUCAGUACUUUUUCUCUGGUCAUGAUUGUAAUUGGCAAGUGGUGCUUUGUAUGGAGAUUGGCAAAUUUAGAUCUUGUUCUUAUGGACGGGUAGGUGUACUAGCUGCUAUAUAAUGAUCAUCUUUUCAAAGAUGUACUGAAUACAUGAAAAUUUGGGCUGUUCUCCAACCUACCUGUGACUCUCUGAGAUUUAUUCCUCCUUUUUUAAUGAUUUUUAAUGAUUGCUUGCUUUUAAACUUGAAGUCCAUUACCAUUCUGGAUUUCGGGUAAUGUUGUUCAUGUGGAAGCCUAGGAUAUUUUGCGGAUAAGGUUAUGGUUACUAUGAAACCAAUGAGGCUGUGAAUGUAGAAAUUGCCAGAAAUGUUGUGCAGCUAAGUUGGAGUUUUGUAGCAACUCAAAUUUUCUCGAUCUUUGCAUGCUUCAGGACUUAAAUUAUUAAAAUAUGAGAAAUGUUAUUUGCACACACUCAACUCAUUGUAUUAACCUAUCACUUUAUGUGGCAGUAGAUGUGAGUAUUGUUCACAUGUUUUUUCCCAAUUAGUCAAUGCUCUACUUCAUUUCUCAUGUUUAUUAAUUAUAUUAGGCUUAAAUUUCUUUUUCUUCAACAAACUCGUCAAUCUACUCAGAAUGUGUGUUUGUGUAUUAUCAAGUGCAGCAAACACUUGUGAAGUAAGUUCCCUUACAUUUCUCUUCAGCAUAUUUUGUUGGUCUCUCUUUUCUAGUAGCUAUGAUUUCCAACAUACUUUAGUUGUUAAUUUAUUUGGUAACCUGCUAGGUACUCACUCAGAACUUGUGUUCAACAACAGCAAGUAAUUAAUGUCAUUUUGAAUGCAUGGCCACAAGAAACUAAUGUAAAAAUUUAUUAUAAUAUGCAUGGUUGCAGACUUGUAGAUAUAUGGGUACAGAAUGGCACUGUGGGAAUGCUCUUUGUUGAAGAAUGUUUCAAUCAGCCAGAGUCUUGAAUGUGUUUAAAGGGUAAGGUCAUUGGGUGAGCAGAACUGGAGUCAAUACUAGAGCUUCUGCAGGGUCCUUGUCCAUCAAGUGUAGGAUUGAUGGCUUAAGAGAUCGAAAGACUGCUUAUCAUCUUUGCCUACAAGAGAGCUUCUGCAAGAACAAACGAAGGUGCAUCGAUCAAAGGAAAACACCAGUAAUCUAUGUAGUUUAGGUUUUUCUAGAACAUUUUACAAGUACAGACUCAAUUCUCUAUGUUGUCCUAACUUGAAUUGUAUGGAUUAUAGUACUGUUUCUAUGGUCAUAUAUUGAGCAUUAUUUCUGGAAAAACGUUUAUAUGGA